UACAGAGGGGGCAAGCGUUAUUCGGAAUUACUGGGCGUAAAGCGCGUGUAGGCGGUUGUUCAAGUCAGGUGUGAAAGCCUUGAGCUCAACUCAAGAAAUGCACUUGAUACUGGAUGACUAGAGGACCGGAGAGGAUAGUGGAAUUCCCAGUGUAGUGGUGAAAUACGUAGAGAUUGGGAAGAACACCAGUGGCGAAGGCGGCUAUCUGGACGGUUUCUGACGCUAAGACGCGAAAGCGUGGGGAGCAAACAGG
rnacentral:rRNA from 1 species